CCACCCAUAACUCAAUUGGUAGAGUAACUCGCUCUUAACGAGAAAGUUGUAGGUUCGAGUCCUACUGGGUGGA
rnacentral:tRNA from 2 species